GUAACGAAGAAAAACAUGCCGGAAGACUGAAUAGGUUGUGGCUGCAGCGUUUAGACGAAGAAAAUGCCCAGAAGAAUCCUCCUCGUCCCGGUCUAGGUUCCUUACAUACUGCAGAACAAGUGAAGAAAUGGAUGCCAAGUAUUAAAAAAGACAUUGAUUUUUACUUAAAG